rnacentral:lncRNA from 1 species
CAAACUUUACCACACUUACCGUGAAAAUGCUUGAUGGGUAGCUCAGGAUUCAGCUGAGCCAGCAAAAUUUCACACAUUUCAGCAGCAAUAAAAAAAAAAAAACAAUGGUGCCAAACUUAGCUUGUAUUCAGAAUAGAGGGAGUGAGUGAGUGUAAGUAGCAGCAAGUAGCAACACUAGUAGCUCGAAAGAGAUGAGGUGUGAACAGUGAAGAGAAUAUUUGAGAGGUGGAUAUAAAGUCACGGGAAAGAAAGACAUGAGAGGAGGAGUGAGUGCUUUUUGCUUUUGGGUUCAACUUUUGAUAAAAAGUGAGCGAUUUUUUGAAUGUUUGGGAACUACAACGUGAGAAGAUACAGCAAAAUUUGUGUCUUUUCUGCAGCAACCGAGGUUCUUUUCAUAUAUUUUCUUCCACUUACUACAUUUUACGGAUUUUUAAUAGAUAAAUUUGAAAAUCAUUCUGAUCUUUUUUCAAAUUUUAAUGAUGUUCUGCACUUUAUAAUGAAAGAGAAAAAAAAAUUAACUUGAUAUAAUUAUUUAGCUGGGAAAGAUUGAUGCUAUAUUUAGCAAAUCCGGGAUAAAGAUAGGGAAUCAGAAUAAAUAACUUAUUUAUUUGUUAAAUUGACGUUGGGUCCACAUAAAUUUUGGAUCAGGAGAAAUUAGAACCGUAUUCCCUAAAAUGACGAAAUUAUCCCCACUACAACUCUAAUAUCCCCAAAAUACCCUCCCUGGAAAUUUUUUUAAAAAAAAUGCAAACCUAAGCAAGCAGCCGCUGCCCAAAGGAAAAUGAUCGGACUCAUCAUCGAUGUUGCACGUGCUGUCGCUGACAUCACAGCUGCUCGUGCUCGUUUUCCACAUCACAGCCGUUCGUGCUCGCGCUCGUCGUUGCCGUUUCUUCCUACGUCAUGCACUCGUGGUCGUCCACACAUCAUAGCAGCUCGUUACAGAUCGGAUUUGCUACCCUCCGUCACGCAUCGUCGUCGUCCCCACAUCGCAGCUCGUCACCGACGGAUCUGAGUCGCGCCAAUUGUCCCCGCAUUUAUUUAUUAAUGCAAUUGUUAUUAUUAUUGAUUAUUUCUAUUUUAGUUAUUAUUAUAAUAAAUGCAAAUUUACUAAUGUUAUUUUUAUUAUUAUUAAUUACUAUUUUAGUUAUUAUUUUUAUUUUUAUUAUUAUAAAAUUUAUUAU